rnacentral:tRNA from 1 species
GCCUUUGUGGUGUAAUUGGAUAGAACGCCCGACUAGCAAUUAGAAGGUCUUGUAUUCGAAUUACGGCAAAGGCA